rnacentral:rRNA from 1 species
GGAUCAUUACUGAGUUUUUAACUCUCCAAACCAUGUGAACUUACCACUGUUGCCUCGGUGGUUAGUACUCUCUCUCGGGAGGGUGCUGCCACCGGUGGACUACUAAACUCUUGUUAAUUUAAGUCAUUCUGAAUCAUAACUAAGAAAUAAGUUAAAACUUUCAACAACGGAUCUCUUGGUUCUGGCAUCGAUGAAGAACGCAGCGAAAUGCGAUAAGUAAUGUGAAUUGCAGAAUUCAGUGAAUCAUCGAAUCUUUGAACGCACAUUGCGCCCAUUAGUAUUCUAGUGGGCAUGCCUGUUCGAGCGUCAUUUCAACCCUUAAGCCUAGCUUAGUGUUGGGAGACUACCUAACUGGUAGCUCCUCAAAACCAGUGGCGGAGUCUGUUCGUGCUCUGAGCGUAGUAAUUUUUUAUCUCGCUUCUGUAAGCCGAUCAAACAACAGCCAAAAACCGCACCCUCACGGGGCACUUUUUAAUGGUUGACCUCGGAUCAGGUAGGAAUACCCGCUGAACUUAAGCAUAUCAAUAAGCGGAGGAAAAGAAACCAACAGGGAUUGCCCUAGUAACGGCGAGUGAAGCGGCAACAGCUCAAAUUUGAAAUCUGGCCUUCUGGUCCGAAUUGUAAUUUGUAGAGGAUGCUUUUGGUUAGGUACCUUCCGAGUUCCUUGGAACAGGACGCCUUAGAGGGUGAGAGCCCCGUACGGUUGGAUACCGAGCCUCUGUAAAGCUCCUUCGACGAGUCGAGUAGUUUGGGAAUGCUGCUCUAAAUGGGAGGUAAAUUUCUUCUAAAGCUAAAUAUUGGCCAGAGACCGAUAGCGCACAAGUAGAGUGAUCGAAAGAUGAAAAGCACUUUGAAAAGAGGGUUAAAUAGUACGUGAAAUUGUUGAAAGGGAAGGGCUUAUGACCAGACCUUUGCCUUGCGAAUCAUCCGGUGUUCUCACCGGUGCACUUCGCUUGGUUGAGGCCAGCAUCAGUUCUGGCAGUGGGAUAAAGACUUUAGGAAUGUGACUCCCCCGGGAGUGUUAUAGCCUAUUGUGUAAUACCAUUGCUGGGACUGAGGACCGCGCU